rnacentral:rRNA from 1 species
GACGAACCGUGCGAACGUUGUUCGGAAUCACUGGGCUUAAAGGGCGCGUAGGCGGUUGGUCAAGUCAGGGGUGAAAUCUUUCGGCUCAACCGGAAAACUGCCUUUGAUACUGACUGGCUGGAGGGAGAUAGGGGUUGCGGGAACUACCAGUGGAGCGGUGAAAUGCGUUGAUAUUGGUAGGAACGCCGGUGGCGAAAGCGCGCAACUGGAUCUCUUCUGACGCUGAGGCGCGAAAGCUAGGGGGGCAAACGGG